rnacentral:rRNA from 1 species
UACGAAGGGUGCAAGCGUUACUCGGAAUUACUGGGCGUAAAGCGUGCGCAGGCGGUUUUGUAAGUUUGUCGUGAAAUCCCCCGGGCUCAACCUGGGAAUGGCGAUGAAGACUGCAAGGCUAGAGUUUGGCAGAGGGGGGUAGAAUUCCACGUGUAGCAGUGAAAUGCGUAGAUAUGUGGAGGAACACCGAUGGCGAAGGCAGCCCCCCUGGGUCAAAACUGACGCUCAUGCACGAAAGCGUGGGGAGCAAACAGG